AAAGCUUCCUGAGGCUGUUCAAAGGGUAAUCAACCUUUCAAGGGGACAGGAAAUUGAGGCAAAAACAGGGAGAUUUCAUUUCUUUAAAAACUCCAACUCGGGCUACAAAGACCAUCCAGCAGAAACCAGCAUAUCUUGUGUCCUGAAGGCUUGGACUGCAGAGUCACUUUCACCAAAGAAUGUGGUGUGGAUGGGGCAAAAAUGGGAGCCUUUACAAUGGAGAAAACUGACAGCCCAGCCUCAGCCAGAUGGUGAAGCUCAGCACCCUCAGGGAUAAGCCAAAGCACCAGAAUAUGUCCCCAGUAUGAUAUGUUGAGAAUGGCUCUUCCCCUCUGUGGGCUUCCUGUUCAAAACACUCCAUUGGUCUCUAACCAUGAGACACACAUCAGACAAGUUUCAAUGGAGAAACAUUCUACAAAACACCAGGCCAGCAUUCCUCCAGACUGUCAAGGUCAUCAAAGACAGGAAGCAAUCAUCACAGCUAAGAACCUCAGGAGACAAUGACCAACCUUAUGUGGCAUGUCUGAUGAAAUUUUAGAACCAAUAAAGAGCAUUAGGGAAAAAAAAAAUCAAAGCAAGGUGGAGACUUUAGUUAA